GUUGGGAGUUAUAUAAUUGUCGCUGCUAACGACGGUUGGAAUAUUUAUUUUGUUCAGCU
rnacentral:tRNA from 1 species